AUGAACGCUGGCGGCGUGCUUAACACAUGCAAGUCGAACGGAAAGGCUCCUGCUUGCAGGGGUACUCGAGUGGCGAACGGGUGAGUAACACGUGGGUGAUCUGCCCUGCACUUCGGGAUAAGCCUGGGAAACUGGGUCUAAUUCCGGAUAGGACGAUGGUUUGGAUGCCAUUGUGGAAAGUUUUUCGGUGUGGGAUGAGCUCGCGGCCUAUCAGCUUGUUGGUGGGGUAAUGGCCUACCAAGGCGUCGACGGGUAGCCGGCCUGAGAGGGUGUACGGCCACAUUGGGACUGAGAUACGGCCCAGACUCCUACGGGAGGCAGCAGUGGGGAAUAUUGCACAAUGGGCGCAAGCCUGAUGCAGCGACGCCGCGUGGGGGAUGACGGCCUUCGGGUUGUAAACUCCGUUCGCUAGGGACGAAGCGUUUUGUGACGGUACCUGGAGAAGAAGCACCGGCUAACUACGUG
rnacentral:rRNA from 1 species